rnacentral:sRNA from 1 species
GCCGGACAUGGUGGCACAUGCCUGUAAUCCCAGCUACUUGGGAGGCUGAGGCAGGAGAAUCGCUUGAACCCAGGAAGCGGAGGUUGUGGUAAGCCGAGAUCACGCCACUGCACUCCAGUCUGGGAGUGCACUCCAACAAGGAGUUUCGCUCUUUUUGCCCAGGCUGGAGUGCAGUGGCGGGAUCUCAGCUCACCGCAACCUCCACCUCCCGGGUUCAGGUGAUUCUCCUGCUUCA